rnacentral:rRNA from 1 species
UCUGGUGGUUUGAGCGGUGUGCCCAGAACCCGAUCCCAUCUCGAACUCGGCCGUUAAACACACCAGCGCCCCGCAGUGCAGCGUAGCUACGUAUGGACGGGAAACCGCUGAAG